AGUCCAUGGUGUGGGCAUUUCUGUAACAAAUCUCUAAAUCUUUCCCAUGUUUCAUAUAAUGAUUCACCCUCUCGUUGACUAAAACUAGUUAUGUCUAUUCUAAAUCU